rnacentral:lncRNA from 1 species
UAUUAGAUAUUAUCAUAAUUUUAUUAUGAUAGUUUUUAUGUAAUAAAAUAAUAAUUAUUACAGUAAUAUAAUAACAAUAUAUAAUAUAUAAUUUAUGUAUCUCGUGAAGAUAUACAAUAAUUAUUAUAAUAUUAUAUUGUGGUCUUCUAUGCCAUUAUAUUAUAUUUUAUUCUAAAAUAGUCAGGCAUAAUUUUUCUCUAGGUU